rnacentral:lncRNA from 1 species
GUAUUUCUAUAUUGCAUAUAUUGCUUGGGAAUGCCAUCUUCUAAGCGUUUCUAGAUACUAUAUUUGGGAGAUAUAUCACAUUCUGAGAGGAGAUAAACUUGGAGUGUUAUGUUGGUUGGUACAUUUUAAUGUUUAUUGACGUGAAAUAUCAGACUCCUACAUAUAUACACUUAGGGCAUGCCUGCUUGCUUGUAAGUGAUAGAAGCAUCUGAACUUGGGUUUUUAAAUGAGUUCUGAUCAUGGUUUGCCGUACCGGUUGGUACGGGCCGGUACCGGCC